rnacentral:rRNA from 1 species
AACGAACGCUGGCGGCAUGCCUAACACAUGCAAGUCGAACGAGACCUUCGGGUCUAGUGGCGCACGGGUGCGUAACGCGUGGGAAUCUGCCCUUGGGUUCGGAAUAACAGUUGGAAACGACUGCUAAUACCGGAUGAUGACGUAAGUCCAAAGAUUUAUCGCCCAAGGAUGAGCCCGCGUAGGAUUAGCUAGUUGGUGAGGUAAAGGCUCACCAAGGCGACGAUCCUUAGCUGGUCUGAGAGGAUGAUCAGCCACACUGGGACUGAGACACGGCCCAGACUCCUACGGGAGGCAGCAGUGGGGAAUAUUGGACAAUGGGCGAAAGACUGAUCCAGCAAUGCCGCGUGAGUGAUGAAGGCCUUAGGGUUGUAAAGCUCUUUUACCCGGGAUGAUAAUGACAGUACCGGGAGAAUAAGCUCCGGCUAACUCCGUG